UACAGAGGGUGCAAGCGUUGUUCGGAAUUAUUGGGCGUAAAGCGCGUGUAGGUGGCUUUGCAAGUCGGGUGUGAAAGCCCUCAGCUCAACUGAGGAAGUGCGCCCGAAACUGCAGAGCUUGAGUGCCGGAGAGGGUGGCGGAAUUCCCCAAGUAGAGGUUAAAUUCGUAGAUAUGGGGAGGAACACCGGUGGCGAAGGCGGCCACCUGGACGGUAACUGACGCUGAGACGCGAAAGCGUGGGGAGCAAACAGG
rnacentral:rRNA from 1 species